rnacentral:rRNA from 1 species
UCCGGAGGGUGCAAGCGUUAUCCGGAUUCACUGGGUUUAAAGGGUGCGUAGGUGGGUUGGUAAGUCAGUGGUGAAAUCCCCGAGCUUAACUUGGGAACUGCCAUUGAUACUAUCAGUCUUGAAUACCGUGGAGGUCAGCGGAAUAUGUCAUGUAGCGGUGAAAUGCUUAGAUAUGACAUAGAACACCAAUUGCGAAGGCAGCUUACUACACGAAUAUUGACACUGAGGCACGAAAGCGUGGGGAUCAAACAGG